AAGCAAAAGGGAGAUUUUUCUGUGUGGGCCAACCUAAUCAGAUGGGAGUCCUUUAAAAGAGGAGCUAGGCUCUCCCUGAAGUCAGAGAUUCAUGCUCAGCUUGUACUCAUGGGGUUCCAGCCUGCUCUGACAGUCCCUUCCCAUCUGCCUGCCUGUGGACUCAAUUUCAGCUCAUGCUCAUGCGGUCCAGCCUGUUUGUGACCUUCUCUUCUUGAUCGAUGGUCCUGUGGGCUUCAGGCUUCUUCGCCGGUGCCCAUAAGUGUCUCCAGCUGCACAUUAUCCUCACCUGCUGAGCUUCAAGAUCCUCUCCUAGUCAAGUCCUGCCCCCCCAGUUGAACCAGAGUCUCUGUGGAUGAUGCCCCGGCACGGGUGUGUUUAAGACAUGUCCCAGGUGGCUCCACUGUGCAGCCAGUGUUCAGAACAGGCGAACUGCUACGUGGCUAAGCCCUUGGCUUCUCUUCUCCUAAGGAUUCAAAGAAGGGAUAAGGAACUUCUGAAAUAAAAUAAGCUCAGAAUUGGGUUUGUUAAGGUGCCAGCAAGACACCGAAGAGGAGGCAGCAGAUCGAAAGUUGCAAUGUGGAUCUAGACCACAGGUGAACGUGCGAUGAAGACCGAGAUUUGGGAGCCUUUGGACAGAACUGGAGACAGAUGUGAGGGCAGUUAUCCCAGUGAGGAAGAGAUCAGCUAGGAGAGAGGGGCAUCAUGGAGGGGGAUUCUGGACACGCUGCUGUGUGAGGAGGUCAGAGGAGGAAGGGGGAGCCCCCAUUAGGAGCUGGGAGGAAUCUUCAGAGUUGGAGAGAAGAGCAUGCAGAAAGCAGGCAAUAAAAUUCCCUGCACUGGACUGCUUCUGAGCUUAAGACCUUGUCUCACCACAUCUGCAGGAUGCUCAGCCUCCUGUGUCCCAGCUGAGCUCCUGUCGCACCUCCCAGGGCGUGCCCCUCCACACUCCCUGUACAUCUGACUACUAGCCAAGGUGUCUCCCUCUCUCUCUCAAAUAACCCCAAGCCCUCUCCUCUCCUCUCCAUUGCCAUGCCACCACCCUAGCUCAAAGAUGAGCCCCUGCAACAGGUUCUGAAUUGCUCUCACCCCAUCUGCCCUUGCCUAGUACCAGCCCAUUAUACACAUAGCCCCCAAGGAAUGGGUUUAAAAAUGCAGACCUGAUUAUGUCUCUCUCCUGCCUACAUGCCGUCAGUGGCCUGCUGUGAUCCCAGAGAUGGUGGUCGGCAAGGUCCACAUUACCAGCCCUUCUGCUCUAGCCCAUCACUCUCCUUCUCAGUCGUUGUUCAUCCUGCUAGUUGGGGCCACACUGGGCUCUGUCACUUCCAUGGAUGUGCCAACCCCUCCCUGGACCAUGGAAUUUGUAUGUGGCUUCCUCUGGGUGUCAUACUCUGCCCUCCAUAAUCUGAUAAACUCCUACAGGUCCUUCAAGUCCCAGCUGAAAUAGCACCUCUUUGGGGAGAUUUUUCUUUAUUCCAAGAUAAGGGAGCUUCCAUAUGAUGAACUCUUAGAGCAUUCUCUAGUCUUUAUAGCACUUUCCACGAUUAUAUUUAUACAAGGCAUAUGUGCGUAAUUACUUAUUUAAUAGCUCUGUCCCACUAGACUAGACUAUAUGUUUAUGGAGAGAAGGAAUCAUGUUCAUUUUACUCCCUAUGUUUAACACACUGCCUGAAUGUACUUAAAACUAUUUGCAUUAAAAGAAUUAAAAGCAAUGCACAUUCAAGUGCAUUUAAAAGGAAAACAUUCAAGUAGCUAAAAAGCCUGUAUAUAAAUCAAGUAGGAUAAUGGUUGAAAAAUAAGCAACUAGAUUGGCCAAUUAUGAGGUGACUGUGACUCCUCUACUAAGAGCAGUUUCAAUAAAAUGGAAAUGGGUGGAAGCAGAGGCGGGUUUUAUAGAGUUGAGGAAUUAUUGAAGAUUCCAAGAAACGGAAAUAGCAUUCUCUGCUUCUUCCUCCCCUGAGGAAGUUAUCACAAUCCUUCUUCCCUUGUUCACUUUUGGUAACCUCUCAUUUCUUAAUGACAGCAAGAACAACUAUUUAUUCACCACUUGGGCUCAAAAUCUU
rnacentral:lncRNA from 1 species